rnacentral:rRNA from 1 species
AUAAUACCCGGGUAGUCACGCCGUAAACGAUGAGUGCUAAGUGUUAGAGGGUUUCCGCCCUUUAGUGCUGCAGCUAACGCAUUAAGCACUCCGCCUGGGGAGUACGGCCGCAAGGCUGAAACUCAAAGGAAUUGACGGGGGCCCGCACAAGCGGUGGAGCAUGUGGUUUAAUUCGAAGCAACGCGAAGAACCUUACCAGGUCUUGACAUCCUCUGCCAACCCUAGAGAUAGGGCGUUCCCCUUCGGGGGACAGAGUGACAGGUGGUGCAUGGUUGUCGUCAGCUCGUGUCGUGAGAUGUCGGGUUAAGUCCCGCAACGAGCGCAACCCUUGAUCUUAGUUGCCAGCAUUCAGUUGGGCACUCUAAGGUGACUGCCGGUGACAAACCGGAGGAAGGUGGGGAUGACGUCAAAUCGUCAUGCCCCUUAUGACCUGGGCUACACACGUGCUACAAUGGAUGGUACAAAGAGUUGCGAACCCGCGAGGGUAAGCCAAUCUCAUAAAGCCAUUCUCAGUUCGGAUUGUAGGCUGCAACUCG